ensembl:processed_transcript RIKEN cDNA 1700123M08 gene
CUCCGCCCUGGGCAUCCUGAGGAGGAAAGACUUUGAAGUCCUCAGGAGACUUGCAAGCGGAAGUGGGGGAGAGGGUACCACAAAUGGAGAUGAAAAUCUGUCUUCACUUUUCUGAUGUCCCCGUGCUUCAAAGCCAGAGCCAUACGCCAUGGAAAGGCAAAGUUGGAAAGGACACGAUCUCCGAUGUGACAUUCUGGGCUCAGAAAUGCCUUUGCCCGGCCUGUAUUUCUCCUUGUGUGACUUCAGUUGGAGACCAGGUCUUCAACUGUGAUUUAUUUGGAUUGCAUGUUGUUGUUGGCAUUGGAAUCUUCUCAUCAAGUUACAGAACUACAAUACUGAAAGAGGACCUUCAGCUUUAUCAUACCCCUCCGUCACGGAUACUUGUCCCAUCCAUCUCACAUCUGUUGUGUAACAACAUAAAAUGGAGUGUUUUG